GGCGGAUGGAGCCCAGUGGAUCNAGGCAGUGGAAUA
rnacentral:tRNA from 1 species